rnacentral:rRNA from 1 species
UACGUAGGGGGCAAGCGUUGUCCGGAAUCAUUGGGCGUAAAGCGCGUGUAGGCGGCUUGGUAAGUCUGGUGUGAAAACUUGGGGCUUAACCCCAAGCCUGCACUGGAUACUGCCUGGCUAGAGUCCGGGAGGGGAGAGCGGAAUUCCCAGUGUAGCGGUGAAAUGCGCAGAUAUUGGGAAGAACACCGGUGGCGAAGGCGGCUCUCUGGAACGGUACUGACGCUGAGACGCGAAAGCGUGGGGAGCGAACAGGAUUAGAUACCCUGGUAGUCCACGCCGUAAACGAUGGGCACUAGAUGUGGGCGGUGUCGACUCCGUCCGUGUCGAAGCUAACGCAUUAAGUGCCCCGCCUGGGGAGUACGGCCGCAAGGCUAAA